rnacentral:rRNA from 1 species
CAGCCAUAAACUAUGGUAGUGUAAUCACAAUACUACCCGCCAGAGAACUACAAGUGAAAAACUUAAAACUCCAAGGACUUGGCGGUGCUCCACAUCAACCUAGAGGAGCCUGUCCUAUAAUCGAUAAUCCACGUUCCACCCUACCACCUUUUGCCCUCAGCCUAUAUACCGCCGUCGUCAGCCUACCUUCUGAAAGAAGCACAGUAAGCAAAACAGUUAUUAACUAGCACGUCAGGUCAAGGUGUAGCACAUAAGGUGGAAGAGAUGGGCUACAUUUUCUGCCACAGAAAACACGAACAGCCUAAUGAAACUUAGACCAAAAGGCGGAUUUAGCAGUAAGACAAGCAAGAAACCCUGUCUUAAACCCGCUCUGGAGCGCGCACACACCGCCCGUGUACUACUAU